CCUGACUUUCUCUCCUGCUCCCUGGAUACCAUGCCAGGUUCAACCAAAGAAAUGUUGGCUGUAAACGCUGCAAGCUUUGUGGAGCUCCUCAGCCCCAGAAAGUAAAAAUUGCAGUGUGCAAAAAAAUUACAUUUCAAAGGAGUGGGCCCAAAAGAUGUUAAGUGGCAGGAAUACCUCAAAGCUGAUUAAUUCUGCAAAUCUUUUGCUCCACAAGUUUAAGUUGGGAAGAGGAAGGUUUGGCAGAAGUCCAAUUUUGGUGCGGAUGUUUUUGUGUACUCACCAGUUGCUUGCAUACAAUGGAUUAAAAGUUUCUAUAGUGUUUGUUUGCUUGUUUUUUUCUUUACUUAGUGGCUCUUAAUCCAGAAUCUAGCUCUUCAAAUACUGCAGAGAAGCAAAGCUCUUCAAAUCCUCCUGCAGACAACUUCAGCUCUUCAAAUGUUUCUCCAGUUCCUCAGAUGCUCGUAUGAAGACUGCCAACACUUAAGAUUCUUCUCAUCCUCCUACAUAUACCUUAAUCCUUACUCUUGUUACACCUGAACAAGAUCAACUUUCUGCUGGAGUGUACAGCGCUGGACCCAAGGUUCCGGACCCUACCACAAUUAGACCAUGAGCAGAGCAAUGCUGUUUUCAUGAGCGUACAUCAGAAGACAAAACAGCUGCAGCAAAAUAAGACCGCUGCAGAUGACAGGACAGAAGAGGCAACCACCAGUGGAGCUCACUAUCCCACACAUGGAGGUCAGAGCCUGCAUCAAAAAAAAGUCUGCACUUGAAAAUCUGCUAGGGGACUCUUUAUCUUCAGAGACAGAACAGUCAAACAGGUCACAGAUCGAGGGAGAAAUUGAACAGUAAAGAAGUGAGGCCUCUAUCUCACUCAGAAGCUGCCCUCUGAAGUGGUGGAAAGAAAACUGCACUCAGUAUCCUUUGUUGUCUCAACUUGCCAAAGCAUAUAUCUCUCUAUCCCUGCUACCUCUGUCCCAAGUGAGCGUGUCUUUUCAACUGCUGGAGACAUAGUUAGUGCCCAAAGGUCUCAACUGCUUCCAGAAAAUGUAGACAUGCUGAUAUUCUUGAAGUAGAACAUGACUGUUUCAUAAAGAGUUGUACUAAUCUGCUGCUAAAUCUCACAGCGAGGGAGCAGCACACUGCCUCUUCUCCACGUGCCGCAAAACCAGCAAGCUGAUUGGCUUGAUUGGUUUGCACUUAUUGUCUGCACUAUUGUUUUACAUAUUUAAAAAUCUCGUCUCGUUCUCGUGAACCCAGUAU